CAAGACACUGGCAUAAACUUUGGCCUUUUUAUGAGAAGAUUUGUUCUGUCCCUAUCAGAGGCCAUGAGUGCCAGGGACAGUGAGGAAGGUUGACUGGUAUAUCGUUUCGGAGGAGAGCCUGUAUGGCUAUAUAUUAUAAGAUAGGUUUCUUGAGCACUAAAUCAGCAGAAACAUUUCAAGGAUUGUGUGACAUUGAGGACUGGAGUAAUUAUGCUGAAAUUUCAGCUUUGCCAUCACAGGAAUAUAUUGCAUAACAUUUUUUAUUUAUUUAUUUUUUAAAUAGAAAAAGACUUCUUUUAAAAUCUGAUUCAUCCCAAACUUUUUAAUGGCAGUCAAUGUUGAGAGUUCCAUGUAUUUUAUGUAAAAAUGUUUACGUCAUUACCAGUUGUGACACAAAUCAUUUGUUCAGUCAGCACCUGAUUAUAAAACUCCCUCUACAAAUCAUUUCUGUUCUUCUCACUCGGCCAGAGUCCUUUGUAUCUGGGACAGUAUUAUACAUAAAAGCCUUUCUGUUAUUAUUUUUUCCUUCUUUUCAUGAAAAAAUGUUUCUCAGGGUUCUAAUAUACCUGGAUAAAGAUAUUCCCAAUUUAUCUUAAUGGAGUAACUCCACUGUUAAUGCAACAUUGCAAAUGCUGCCAUAUUUGUUUCAAAGACAGUUUUUGAAAGUGAUUUUUAGCCAGUCAUCCGAGCUAUAAAUGCUUUGUGAUUGAUCACUCUUGCAGCAAACAGGCAAAUAUGUUGCAAAUGUGUCUGCAAAAAUGCCUUUUGCCCACAUAAUGGUGUUGGUACAUUAGCUUACUGAGAUUUCAGUAGUAAAGGAAGAGCAUCUGUACCCCAAAUGGAAUCCCGAUGCACUGCCCUCUUCUGUUUAGGAGGUGAACCUCCAAACUGGUAUAAUGUCGGGGAAACUUGCCCUCAACAAACUCCACCAAGAGCUGGCAGAGAAGGGCUUCAACAAGGUUUAUGUGAUCAUCUGGAUGAUGACACCAUGGCUGUGACCAGGCAAUGUCCCAGCGCACAUCAGUCUGUUGUGACUGUGUCUCGUUUAGCCUUUAAAAACGCAGAAACACACCAAUACAGAGAGCAUCUGGCCCCAAUGUACUGUACAUCCCAGGUCAAAUUGAGGUGGUGAUGUUAGAAGCACGUACAGUGAGAAACGCUGAGUCAUAUAUGAAAGACGAGAGGUUCAUGGUCUACAUGGUUGAGAUCCGCUAACACAUACAGUUAAAGGACAGUGAAAUCAUUAAACGGGGAGAUGACAUCACUGAGGGCUGCAGUGAUUUUGUUGAGGAGGUUUUGUUUGAAUAGCUCACACCUGGUAGUGUAACUGCAUUCAGUUUAAUGUCCAAACUGACUCUGGCUGAGUUGAAAGUGUUGUUAUUCCGAUGUGACGAGGAGGAACAGGAAGAUGGUGGGUGGGUGGGUGGCUGCUACAAUAUACCAUCCUGGAUGCUGCUGAAGGAUGGAGGCCUACAAGGUACCAAUAUACACAUGUAACAUGACUGCAAUGAGAAUACUUUUUGUGGGCAAAGAAAACAAAAAUAACAACUUUAUUCAGUAAUUCAAACAAUGCAUUUACUACCUUAAUGUGGUAAUUGCGUUGCUGUUUAUGAAGGACCAUAAAGCUCUCGGGUUUCAUCAAAAAUAUCUCAAUUUGUGUUCUGAAGAUGUGUAUGGAUUGACAUGAGGGUGAGUAAUUAAUAACAGAAUUUUCAUUUUUGGGCGAACUAUCCCUUUAAGUUGCAUUGUGAUUAAAAUAAUUUUUAUUGAUGUGUCAAUAGUAUAUACACUUCUACAUAUUACGCACUUAUUACAAAAUGUCACCUAUACAGGUCUGCCGCAUUUCUCCUCUGAAAUCUUCUGCUGUUGGGGGAGAGACACUUUCAUAGCGGACUACUGUAAUAUUGUUCCCAACGGCACAGAUAUUCUUAUGUGCCCUGUGUCACGCAUGUAUCCCACUGAUGAUUCUGAGGCACAGCCUCUGGGGACAGUGUUAAGAAGAAUGGAAAAAAAAAAUCUAUGACUGCUUAUGAUACUUGACAGUACAAUGCCAUGCCCUACUUAUAUGAUUCAUUAAGGGGAGGCUUUAAUGUGGAGGACAAAGUAAAUCCCAAGACAGGAUUUGUUUAGGGUGGAAAUCGCUUCAACUGUGGGACAUAUAUGGAUAAAAUGGGAGAGAGCCACAAAGCCCAUAAUAGAGUUGUUCCAGCCACACCCAGGGAUGGCUCUGUGGAGGAGAUUGUGGGUCUCAGUAAGUCAGGAGUGCGCUGGCUGAUGACGAUGAAUGAGAAUGGAAAUUCCCCAUACUCCUCUGUCACAAUACACAGAGAUGGAACAGAACAGUCGGUGUCCUAUUAAGAUUGGAAUCAAAGGAUCCAGGAGAAUUUUGAAAGGUUUUUCUACGUGUCAGAAGACCCUUCAAACCAAAAUGAGCAUCAUCCUGACCUGGUCCACAAGAAAUGCAUUUACAAAGACAGUUACGGGCCUCUAGCCCCUGAUGCGACUACCAACUCAGACCUAACUUCACCAUCGCCAUGGUGGUGGUGAGUCCAAGUGCUUAUAAGAGAUUCUUUCCAAGAAUUUUUGAGGAUGUUCUUUUAUACAGUUCUUUGUUUCACUAGGCACCAGACUUGUUUACUGUGCAAGGAGCAUGGGAGGCUUUAGAGGGAGUAGAGAAAAAAGCUGCUUGGUCCUCUGAGAAUGAAAACGCUGGAUGCAGAGUCAGUAGAAAACAACACCUGCUGUCUGCCUUGAUCUGGUGCACUGCGGUGUUUAUGACAACGCCCUGGAUAAUGACAGCUACAACUGUGCGAAAGGAUUCAACUAUCACCAAGGACCUGUAUGUUUUAAUAAAUUAAAGGAAAAGAUUGUCCACAUUUAACAUUUUGUCAUAAUUUCUUAACCCUCAAGUUGUUCCAAAACUGUAAUGAUUUCUUUCUUAUUUUGUACC